rnacentral:rRNA from 1 species
UACGGAGGGUGCGAGCGUUGUCCGGAAUCAUUGGGCGUAAAGGGCGCGUAGGUGGCCCGGUCAGUCCGUGGUGAAAGCGCGGGGCUCAACCCCGCGUCGGCCAUGGAUACUGCUGGGCUGGAGCACUGUAGAGGCAGGCGGAAUUCCGGGGUGUAGCGGUGGAAUGCGUAGAGAUCCGGAAGAACACCGAUGGCGAAGGCAGCCCCCUGGGUCAAGAUUGACGCUCAUGCACGAAAGCGUGGGGAGCAAACAGG